AUUAGUAUUAGUUAUGUUCUUGAAAAUUAAAAAAAUUGGCGGUAUUUUAGACUAUUCAGAGGAACUUGUCCUGUAAUUGAUAAUCCACGAUUUAAUAUACUUUUUUUUUUAGUUUAUAUAUCGUCGUUAUUGAAAAUUUUUAAAAAGUUAAUAAUUUUCAUGGUUUUUUAUAAAAUAGUAAAUCAGAUCAAGAUGUAGUUUAUAAAAAAGAAGAGAUGAGUUACAUUAAUGUAUUUUUGGAUAAUUAUUGGUUGAAUAAUUUGAAAUUGGAUUUGAAAGUAAUUUAAAUAAAUUUAUUUAAAUGAUUUAGCUCUAAAAUAUGUACACAUCGCCCG
rnacentral:rRNA from 1 species